GUGUUUAAAGCAGGCUUUUAAGCUUGAAUGUGUUAGCAUGGAAUAAUGAAAUAUGACUUUAGUCCUAUUUUCGUUGGUUUAGGUACUAUAGUAAUGAUUAAUAGAAACGGUUGGGGGCAUUUGUAUUUGGCCGCUAGAGGUGAAAUUCUUGGAUUGGCCGAAGACAAACUACUGCGAAAGCAUUUGACCCAGGACGUUUUCAUUGAUCAAGGUCUAAAGUUAAGGGAUCGAAGACGAUUAGAUACCGUCGUAGUCUUAACCACAAACUAUGCCGACUAGAGAUUGGGCGUGUUUCUUUUGACUCGCUCAGCAUCUUAGCGAAAGUAAAGUUUUGGGUCUGGGG
rnacentral:rRNA from 1 species